GGAUGUAUGACCGGAUAUAUGACAAAGGACAUUCCAGAACGUGCGGUGUAAACACGUCAACAUGCAGGUGUAGCGGCACAACACCGCGGCUAUUUACUCAUUUAUUGGACAUAAAUACGCAAACUACAGCUUGCGUUUAACCCAUUGGUGAGGAUAGACCAUAAUGUGGUGUGGAUGAUCCUGGAAGGAUCAUGGUCAGAACAGAGUCCUGACAGGGACAUAUGCCAGACUGAUGUGUGGUGGAGCGAGGUGGCCUGGGUACUGUGGUUGCGACUCAUGAGGAACACAGCCAGAACCUUGAUGGACAGCCAUGAGUGGUAUUCUUUGCUGGCAAUAUAGAACUGUUCGUGAUGAGGCUUGAUGGUGCCCGUCUUGUGGAGAGAACUGGGUUUCUUGUUGACACUCCAUGGUGGAAAUCUGCCCACCAGUGUAGACUAUUAAGGUGACCUCAUAGACAGUGAUGGAAAUCUGUGAUAUAUGUUCUUAUUAAAUGUGUGAAAGUGAGUGUGGAUGUGCAGUUGUUCAUAGUGUAUAGUGUAAUUAAAUAUUGUAAAUAA